AGCAGCCGCGGUAAUUCCAGCUCCAAUAGCGUAUAUUAAAGUUGUUGCAGUUAAAAAGCUCGUAGUUGAAUUUCGGGGUUAGUAGGUUGGUCAUGCCUCUGGUAUGUACUGGUCUCACUGAUUCCUCCUUCCUGAUGAGCCGUAAUGCCAUUAAUUUGGUGUUGCGGGGAAUUUGGACUGUUACUUUGAAAAAAUUAGAGUGUUUAAAGCAAGCUAACGCUUGAAUACAUUAGCAUGGAAUAAUGAAAUAGGACGUUCGAUCCUAUUUUGUUGGUUUCUAGGAUUGACGUAAUGAUUAAUAGGGAUAGUUGGGGGCAUUAGUAUUCAAUUGUCAGAGGUGAAAUUCUUGGAUUUAUUGAAGACUAACUACUGCGAAAGCAUUUGCCAAGGAUGUUUUCAUUAAUCAAGAACGAAAGUUAGGGGAUCGAAGACGAUCAGAUACCGUCGUAGUCUUAACCAUAAACUAUGCCGACUAGGGAUCGGAUGAUGCUAAUUUUUAAUGA
rnacentral:rRNA from 1 species